rnacentral:rRNA from 1 species
AUUGAACGCUGGCGGCAGGCCUAACACAUGCAAGUCGAGCGAGCGGCGGACGGGUGAGUAAUGUCUGGGAAACUGCCUGAUGGAGGGGGAUAACUACUGGAAACGGUAGCUAAUACCGCAUACCAUCGGAUGUGCCCAGAUGGGAUUAGCUAGUAGGUGGGGUAAAGGCUCAACUAGGCGACGAUCCCUAGCUGGGCUGAGAGGAUGACCAGCCACACUGGAACUAAGACACGGACCAGACUCCUACGGGAGGCAGCAGUGGGGAAAAGUGCACAAUGGGCGCAAGCCUUAUGAAGCGAGGCCGCGUGUGUGAAGAAGGCCUUCGGGUUGUAAAGCACCUUCAGCGGGGAGGCGUUACCCGCAGAAGAAGCACCGGCUAACUCCGUGCCAGCAGCCGCGGUAAUAC